ensembl:lncRNA
UUUAAGAGUUGGCAGUGAAUGUGGGGGUUCUCUUGCUGGAGAUCUUUGUGUGUUUGAGGCCUUCUAAAGGAUGGAUUCAUCCGAAUGUGACAUUCUCAUCUUUGCAUGGACUGAACCCUACAGCACAAGUGACGCUGUUGCACAUGAUGUUCACUGACCAUUGGAAGCAUUCGACAGAGAUGAGCAGCCCAACAUGCCUCAGGUGCUUCUGAGUGCUAUGCAGAGGAGUGACCCAGCACUCCAAGGAUUCUGCCUCAGCACAGCAGCCUGAGGUGGCUGAUGCCUACAAAUGGGGAGGGACCUGUGCUGCCGACAUCUGCUGGGGACCUCAGAUGCUGACCCAGGCAAGAGAAUAACUGUGCCAGAAAACAAACAAACAAAAAAAAACAAUGCAAGUCACACUGUGAAUAACAGAUUAUAUGCAGAAAGAAUAUCUUCCUGUCUCCAGGGAUUAACUGACAAAUACUUCUCCUGAUGUUAUCCUCACUGGUGCGUAGGCUCAUGUCUGGGCUGGAUGACCUACUUAUCACAUUCAUAAUCAUUUCCAUGAAUUUGGAAUACAUGAAACAAUUUCUAUUUUUGUUUACUCUUGGUUGAUUAUGGAAUAAAUGAAGUGCCCACUUGUUUACAGUUUAUACACUGUUUUUAAUGAGGUUUCCCCAUUACCCUUUACUAUGUUAUUUAUUAAGAGGGUAGGAAAUGUCUACAGGUUUCAGGUUAUACUGAGAUAUAUAUAUAUAUAUAUAUAUAUAUAUAUAUAUAGUAUACUGCAUAUACUUCCCAAUAAGUUUCCUAAUGAUGCCCAGUGUUUUGUUGGCUUUUCUGGCUGCUGUUACGCACCAAGUCAGUGGUUUUGGAGAACUUACAGCAAUGGCUCCAAGAUCUCCUUCCUAAUUUGUAGAAAUGCUUUAGGACCUUUUAUCACAUCUUUAUUGAUGAAUGUCAAUAGGUGCCAUUAUUUCCUCAUGGAGGAAUUCAGUGACACACCUUUGCUCCAUCUGCAUUGGAGAUUUCAUGUCACAUGCCAUUUUGUCAGACUGCCCCUGUGCUGUCAUCUGCUGUAUGGCCACAAUGUGUAUUGAAAUCUUGGUGGAAAGGUUCAGCCUCUACUGCCAUACCACCAACAUCCACCUCUGACAUAGUAGAUCAACAUCAUAAAAUGGGAGGCAUUAUUUUUGGAGCGAUUGUUGCAGGAUAUAUUUCAUUUGGCACACAAAGAAUGCCUUAAGUAGCUUCGUCAUCUUAUUUUUCAUGGAGAUUCAUGUUUUCUGAAGAAAAUUCUGCAUACCCAAACUGUAGUUUUAUAUUCCUUGGAAGUUAUCAAAUAAUACUUUUGUAAGGUUUAUUGGAGUUCCUCACAAGCUUUUCUAAAAUAUGGAACAACAUAUUUGUUUCUCUUCUUCCUUUACAUUCAUCUUUUAAACCAAUCGUGACCUUCACCAGGGCCAGCUGCAGACAUACGUGGAUUUCUAACCCUUUUUUUAUAUGUAGAAGAGUUUCUAUACACAUUAGUGCUUCUUGAAAACACCACACCACUUGGCUCAACGCAUCCCUAUCAACGCUCGGGUGCUGAAACAGAUGUGCGAAGGAUAUGUAUAUUUUUCAGUAAAUUGUGCCCCAGAAAAGAUCCUGGCUGGCCCAAUUAUGCUAAUUAGAGAAAGAAAGAGGAGUAGUAAUAUACAAAAGUGAUUCAAACAAAGAAUUUAAAGUGUGCCUAUCAUCGCUUUAUGAUCUAAACAAGUAAAACACGUUUAUAAGGGCUGUGGAGCCCCAGUAGUUUUUGGAAGACAGAAGUAAAAAAGAGUUAAGAAGCAUAGAGAAUGUUGCCAGGGGACGGAGAGAGGGAAGAAGUAAUUUGAGUAUUAGAAAUUGUGGUCUGCAGUGAACUUUAAUUAUUGUUUUCCAAGGAAGUCUGAAAGCAAUAAAGGGACUGAAUAAGGAUAACCUGAAAACCAUAUCAAAAGUGUCUGAGUUUUUGCUGUUUUUUUAUCUCAAUAAAAUUUUAUAAUUUUUAUUAUAUAUAUUUAUAUUGUAAACAAUAUGUUUCUGUACUGUGUAUUCACAUAAAUAUGACAGCAUUCAUAUACAUAUUAUAUAUUCAUAAUAUGUAUUUAAUAAAAAGUAAAUAUACAU